GGGAACUACGAGCUAAGCUUAAAACCCAAAGGACUUGACGGUACCCCAUAUCCCCCUAGAGGAGCCUGUCCUAUAAUCGAUAAUCCACGUUUAACCUCACCAUUUCUAGUUAAUCAGCCUGUAUACCUCCGUCGUCAGCUUACCACGUGAGCGCCAAUUAGUGAGCUUAAUGUCUUUCACCAACACGUCAGGUCAAGGUGCAGCAAAUGAAAUGGGAAGAGAUGGGCUACACUUUCUAUAUUAGAAAAAACGAAAAACUAUUUAUGAAAACUAGUUGGAAGGCGGAUUUAGCAGUAAAAAGGAAUCAAAAUGUCCAUUUUAACCCGGCACUGGGGUGUGUACACACCGCCCGUCACCCUCUUCAAGGCUUCUUACCUAGUUCUUAACAAACUAAAGCAUUACAGAAGAGGCAAGUCGUAACAUGGUAAGUAUACCGGAAGGUGUGCUUGGAAA
rnacentral:rRNA from 1 species